AAAUGAAAUAAAAAAUUACAAAUAUUAAAGUAGUAUCUAAAAAAUAACGAAAAUGUGCAGCAUCUUGUUUAUGUAAUCUAUCUAUAUAAUCUGAAAUUUAAAAUAUUUAAUGUUCCCAGAUGCUUUCUUAAAUAGGUUAUAAAUUAGUAGAGUAAUAUAAACGUCUAAUAACGCUUAUAUGUAUCACUACUGUCCGUUUUCAGCACUGGAUAUAUUUAUUUUGAUAUAUUUAUAUAAUCUAAUAUUUUAUAUUGUGAUGUAUAUUUUUAAAAACAAAUUGGCGCGCAAGACGGACCGCGCAUGCGCAUGAAGAAACGUUCCAGAUACAGUCCACGCGGUGAGAUCCAAACCGCGUUAGUAACAUCUUUGAAGGUUUCAUGAAAUUCAGUCUGGCUCGAUCCGCUUGGUAGCAAUGGUCCAGGUGAUGCUGUAAGGAAGGUUUUGCAAGUUGCCACAUACAAUGGAUCGAAAGGGAAAGAAAUACCUUUGGCACUGUGAUUAUUCUGUAGGCCGUCUCAAUCUGAUGUUCCAGCUGUGAUGCCUUCAUUGCAGACACCUUAAAGUAUGUUCCACAUCGAGGAACAAGGGUAAGUCAUAUUCUGACUACACAAAGCUUAAUGCAAAUGGGUGAAGUGUCCCUUUAAUGGCGCACUCCGAUUAUUAGCAUCAGUUUUAAGAAGGUUGUGGUCAUGACAGUGUUGCCUUCUAAAUCAGAUUCUUUUUUGUCCACAAAUCAAGUAACUUUUAAUAAAUGAGUAAAAAAUGAACAAAUAAAAGAGUAAACUAUUGCCCCGCCUAAGACUAUCUCUUUAACCAAGCAUUUACCUAAUUCAUCUCCUAUACAUACUUAUGCCGCAUCUAUUAUACUGUAUGAAUGCCUUUAACACUACAUGUGAUGGGCCUCUUUACUAAUUGCACCUUGUUUCUGUUUCCCUGUCUCGCCCUCGUUCACCGAGGAAAUCUGAGACGGACAGGUCCAAUUCCAAUUUGGAGGGAUGCUCAUCCCACCAUUCAUCCGCUUGAUGCCCAUCCUCAUGCUGCUAAAUUGAUGACUGCUCACAUAUACUCACCGGCCACUUUAUUAGGUACAGCUUACUAGUACUGGGUUGGACCCCCUUUUGCCUUCAGAACUGCCUUAAUCCUUCGUGGCAUAGAUUCAACAAGGUACUGGAAAAAUUCCUCAGAGGUUUUGGUCCAUAUUCACAUGAUACCAUCAUGCAGUUGCUGUAGAUACGUUGGCUACACAUCCAUGAAGCGAAUCUCCAGUUCCACCACAUCCCAAAGGUGCUCUAUUGGGUUGAGAUCUGGUGACUGUGGAGGCCAUUUAAGUACAGUUGAACUCACUGUCAUGUUCAAGAAACCAGUCUGAGAUUAUUUAUUCUGCCGGAAGUAGACAUCCGAAGAUGGGUACAUGGUGGUCAUAAAGGGAUGUACAUGGUCAGAAUCAAUGCUCAGGUAGGCUGUGGCAUUGACACGAUGCUCAAUUGGUACUAAUGGGCCCAAAGCGUGCCAAGAGAAUAUCCCCCACACCAUUACACCAGCACCAGCAGCUUGAACAUUGAUACAAGGCAGGAUGGAUCCACAUUCUCAUGUUGUUGACGCCAAAUUCUGACCCUACCAUCAGAAUGUCGCAGCAGAAAUCGAGACUCAUCAGAGCAGGAAAUGUUUUUCCAAUCUUCUUUUGUCCAAUUUUGGUGAGCUUGUGCGAAUUGUAGCCUCGUUUUCCUAUUCUUUACUGUCAGGAGUGACACCCGGUGUGGUCUUCUGCUGCUGUAGCCCAUCCACCUCAAGGUUCGGCGUGUUGUGGGUUUAGAGAUGCUCUUCUGCAUACCUCACUUUUUUAUUUUGCUUUUACCUCCAUUGUACCGAACUGUGACGCCUGAAUAUAUAUAUGUUUAUAUGUUUAUAUGUUUAUAUGUGUAUAUUUAUAUUUAUAUGUGUUAGUAUUAUAUAGCAUAGUAUAUACUAAAUUCUAUACUACAUUACUGUAACAUAUGUUGUAGCUGAAAUUAAUAACAGGGUCUCUUUCCUCGGUUACAAACUGCACCACACUACAGCUGUAACAUGUAAGAUGGGAACUGCACCUCCUGGCUAAGCCUGGUUUUCUCACUGGGUUUUUAUUUCUGUCUCCCUGAAGAAGUUUCCCCCUUGACCAAUGUUUCUGUGUGGCUUGCUUACUAGGAAACUGCUGAUAUUAACCUUAUAACGUCUUUAGAAAAUUAUGUUAAUACUGGUAUAUAGUUUGGAGUUGGAGUAUAUUACAUACACUGUUCUAUCACUGUUCUAUUACUGUAUGUUCAUAAUUUAGCUUGGAAUGGAGUAAUUCUUAUAUUAUUUAUAUAAGAAAUAACUCCAUGUAACCUCAAAUACUCCAUCCUUAACUGUAUUUAAAACUUUGAGGUUCUUUGCUUUUCUGUGUCGUCUUAUAUUCUAUUACAUGUACAUAUGAUUUGGUAUGAUGAACUAUUGUGAAAAGCACUGUAUAAAUAUAAUUGAAUUGAAUUAAAUUGAUGUUUGUUAAACAUUUUUGCAAGGAUAUUGUACUAAGACAUAAAGUUGGUGAAAUGCUCAAAAAUGUUUUGUAACCUUUAAAUAAUGGAAAGUAAGAAAGCUGGAUAUUGUAUUGUUUUGGAUUAUAAAAAUUAAUGUUUAAAGAAUGUUAUAUUUGUGAAAAUAAAGUUUUGAAAAUA